rnacentral:rRNA from 1 species
AGUGAACGCUGGCGGUAGGCCUAACACAUGCAAGUCGAACGGCAGCACAGGAGAGCUUGCUCUCUAGGUGGCGAGUGGCGGACGGGUGAGGAAUACAUCGGAAUCUGCCCAGUCGUGGGGGAUAACGUAGGGAAACUUACGCUAAUACCGCAUACGACCUUCGGGUGAAAGAGGGGGAUCGCAAGACCUCUCGCGAUUGGAUGAGCCGAUGUCGGAUUAGCUAGUUAGCGGGGUAAUGGCCCACCAAGGCGACGAUCCGUAGCUGGUCUGAGAGGAUGAUCAGCCACACUGGAACUGAGACACGGUCCAGACUCCUACGGGAGGCAGCAGUGGGGAAUAUUGGACAAUGGGCGCAAGCCUGAUCCAACCAUACCGCGUGGGUGAAGAAGGCCUUCGGGUUGUAAAGCCCUUUUGUUGGGAAAGAAAUCUUUCAGGCUAAUACCCUGGGAGGAUGACGGUACCCAAAGAAUAAGCACCGGCUAACUUCGUG